GUUCGAUCAUGGCUCAGAUUAGACGCUGGCGGGAUGCUUUACAUGCAAGUCGAACGGCAGCACGGACUUCGGUCUGGUGGCGAGUGGCGAACGGGUGAGUAAUGUAUCGGAACGUGCUUAGUAGCGGGGGAUAACUACGCGGCGUAGCUAUUCUACGCCCUUCGAGGAAAGCGGGGGACCUUCGGGCCUCGCACUAUUAGAGCAGCCGAUAUCGGAUUAUAGCUAGUUGGUGGGGUAACGGCUCACCAAGGCGACGAUCCGUAGCUGGUUUGAGAGGACGACCAGCCACGCAGGACUGAGACUGGCCCAGACUCCUGCGGGAGGCAGCAGUGGGGAAUUUUGGACAAUGGGAAACCCUGAUCCAGCCAUCCCGCGUGUGCGAUGAAGGCCUUCGGGUUGUAAAGCACUUUUGGCAGGAAAGAAACAGCACGGGAUAAUACCCCGUGCAACUGACAGUACCUGCAGAAUAAGCACCGGCUAACUACGUGCCAGCAGCCGCGGUAAUACGUAAGUGCAAGCGUUAAUCAGAUACUGGGCGUAAAGCGUGCGCAGGCAGUUCGGAAAAGAAAGAUGUGAAAUCCCAGGCUUAACUUUGGAACUGCAUUUUUAACUACCGAGCUAGAGUGUGUCAGAGGAAGUGGAAUUCCGCGAUGUAGCAGUGAAAUGCGUAGAUAUGCGGAGGAACACCGAUGGCGAAGGCAGCCUCCUGGGAUAACUGCUGACGCUCAUGCACGAAAGCGUGGGAGCAAACGGGAUUUGAUACCCUGGUAGUCCACGCCCUAAACGAUGUCAACUAGCUGUUGGGGCCUUCGGGCCUUGGUAGCGCAACUAACGCGUGAAGUUGACCGCACGGGAGAGUACAGUCGCAAGAUUAAAACUCAAAGGAAUUGACGAGGACCGCACAAGCGGUGGAUGAUGUGGAUUAAUUCGAUGCAACGCGAAAAACCUUACCUACCCAUGACAUGUCUGGAAUCCCGAAGAGAUUUGGGAGUGCUCGCAAGAGAACCGGAACACAGGUGCUGCAUGGCUGUCGUCGCUCGUGUCGUGAGAUGUUGGGUUAAGUCCCGCAACAGGCGCAACCCUUGUCAUUAGUUGCUACGAAAGGGCACUCUAAUGGGAACUGCCGGUGACAAACCGGAGGAAGGUGGGGAUGACGUCAAGUCCUCGCGAAGCGCCUUCGUUGGGGCUUCACACGUCAUACAAUGGGUCGGGACAGAGGGUCGCCAACCCGCGAGGGGAACCAAUCAGAAACCCGAUCGUAGUCCGGAUCGCAGUCGCCAACUCGACUGCGUGAAGUCGGAGAGAUCGCUAGUAAUCGCGGAUCAGCAUGUCGCGGUGAAUACGUUCCCGGGUCUUGUACACACCGCCCGUCACACCAUGGGAGUGGGUUUGCAGAAGUAGUUAGCCUAACCGUAAGGAGGGCGAUUACCACGGUAGGAUUCAUGACUGGGGUGAAGUCGUAACAAAGAGAAUAG
rnacentral:rRNA from 1 species